ensembl:lncRNA
CUUGACUCAGCUACCCUUAUAAAUGGCUCCUCAUGGUUCUCUCUUAAAAUUAAGGCCCCCGUCUACACCACGCCUGACCCUUCCUCGCGAGACAAGAAUCUUCACCAUCUGAAUUAUGAGUGCCCGUCGUCAUUUUUCCUUCUCUCCUUUACUGGAGGGGCUGGAUUUGGAUCUGAACACUCACUAUCAGCUCGCGCAUCUCACUGCUGACAUCAAUGUGCUACUUAACGUUCUUCGCAGCACCCCCUCUGGAAAUGGAAAUGCGGGGUCCCCCCCCAGAUACAGAAUCCACCCCGGGAAUGUGUGUAUUGACGCCUCUACACAGACAGACCCUCCGCCUGACCCUCCCUCCAGCUUUCAGUCUGAGGAUGAUGUCACCUUCUCUGAUCUGGGCUCUGACCAUUCUUCCCUCUUCUCACCUGUCAGUCCGCUGUACUCUCAGUGUUCUCCUUAUUUCACCCUUGCUGACUAUCCCAUGUCCCCAGGACGCACCCCAUUUUCUUCCCCCUACCGCUCUCCUCAAGAUUACGCACCCACCAGUCCUGUGAAUUUUCAAUAAAAUUACAUAUUACUCAUACUAGGUCUCCCUCAUGUUUAUUUCAUGUCAUUUUUAUCCACAACAGUUGACAGGACCCAUGGAGACACAUUU